rnacentral:rRNA from 1 species
GUAGGCAGCGAGCGUUGUUCGGAGUUACUGGGCGUAAAGGGUGUGUAGGCGGUUCUUUAAGUUUGGUGUGAAAUCUCCCGGCUCAACUGGGAGGGUGCGCCGAAUACUGAGGGACUAGAGUGCGGGAGAGGAAAGUGGAAUUCCUGGUGUAGCGGUGAAAUGCGUAGAUAUCAGGAGGAACACCGGUGGUGUAGACGGCUUUCUGGACCGUAACUGACGCUGAGACACGAAAGCGUGGGUAGCAAACAGGAUUAGAUACCCUGGUAGUCCACGCCCUAAACGAUGCAUAUUUGGUGUGGGCAGUUCAUUCUGUCCGUGCCGGAGCUAACGCGUUAAAUAUGCCGCCUGGGGAGUACANNNNNAAGGCUG